rnacentral:rRNA from 1 species
UUAAGCGACUAAGCGUACACGGUGGAUGCCCUGGCAGUCAGAGGCGAUGAAGGACGUGCUAAUCUGCGAUAAGCGUCGGUAAGGUGAUAUGAACCGUUAUAACCGGCGAUUUCCGAAUGGGGAAACCCAGUGUGUUUCGACACACUAUCAUUAACUGAAUCCAUAGGUUAAUGAGGCGAACCGGGGGAACUGAAACAUCUAAGUACCCCGAGGAAAAGAAAUCAACCGAGAUUCCCCCAGUAGCGGCGAGCGAACGGGGAGGAGCCCAGAGCCUGAAUCAGUGUGUGUGUUAGUGGAAGCGUCUGGAAAGGCGCGCGAUACAGGGUGACAGCCCCGUACACAAAAAUGCACAUGCUGUGAGCUCGAUGAGUAGGGCGGGACACGUGGUAUCCUGUCUGAAUAUGGGGGGACCAUCCUCCAAGGCUAAAUACUCCUGACUGACCGAUAGUGAACCAGUACCGUGAGGGAAAGGCGAAAAGAACCCCGGCGAGGGGAGUGAAAAAGAACCUGAAACCGUGUACGUACAAGCAGUGGGAGCCUCUUAAUGGGGUGACUGCGUACCUUUUGUAUAAUGGGUCAGCGACUUAUAUUCUGUAGCAAGGUUAACCGAAUAGGGGAGCCGAAGGGAAACCGAGUCUUAACUGGGCGUUAAGUUGCAGGGUAUAGACCCGAAACCCGGUGAUCUAGCCAUGGGCAGGUUGAAGGUUGGGUAACACUAACUGGAGGACCGAACCGACUAAUGUUGAAAAAUUAGCGGAUGACUUGUGGCUGGGGGUGAAAGGCCAAUCAAACCGGGAGAUAGCUGGUUCUCCCCGAAAGCUAUUUAGGUAGCGCCUCGUGAAUUCAUCUCCGGGGGUAGAGCACUGUUUCGGCAAGGGGGUCAUCCCGACUUACCAACCCGAUGCAAACUGCGAAUACCGGAGAAUGUUAUCACGGGAGACACACGGCGGGUGCUAACGUCCGUCGUGAAGAGGGAAACAACCCAGACCGCCAGCUAAGGUCCCAAAGUCAUGGUUAAGUGGGAAACGAUGUGGGAAGGCCCAGACAGCCAGGAUGUUGGCUUAGAAGCAGCCAUCAUUUAAAGAAAGCGUAAUAGCUCACUGGUCGAGUCGGCCUGCGCGGAAGAUGUAACGGGGCUAAACCAUGCACCGAAGCUGCGGCAGCGACACUAUGUGUUGUUGGGUAGGGGAGCGUUCUGUAAGCCUGUGAAGGUGGCCUGUGAGGGUUGCUGGAGGUAUCAGAAGUGCGAAUGCUGACAUAAGUAACGAUAAAGCGGGUGAAAAGCCCGCUCGCCGGAAGACCAAGGGUUCCUGUCCAACGUUAAUCGGGGCAGGGUGAGUCGACCCCUAAGGCGAGGCCGAAAGGCGUAGUCGAUGGGAAACAGGUUAAUAUUCCUGUACUUGGUGUUACUGCGAAGGGGGGACGGAGAAGGCUAUGUUGGCCGGGCGACGGUUGUCCCGGUUUAAGCGUGUAGGCUGGUUUUCCAGGCAAAUCCGGAAAAUCAAGGCUGAGGCGUGAUGACGAGGCACUACGGUGCUGAAGCAACAAAUGCCCUGCUUCCAGGAAAAGCCUCUAAGCAUCAGGUAACAUCAAAUCGUACCCCAAACCGACACAGGUGGUCAGGUAGAGAAUACCAAGGCGCUUGAGAGAACUCGGGUGAAGGAACUAGGCAAAAUGGUGCCGUAACUUCGGGAGAAGGCACGCUGAUAUGUAGGUGAAGCGACUUGCUCGUGGAGCUGAAAUCAGUCGAAGAUACCAGCUGGCUGCAACUGUUUAUUAAAAACACAGCACUGUGCAAACACGAAAGUGGACGUAUACGGUGUGACGCCUGCCCGGUGCCGGAAGGUUAAUUGAUGGGGUUAGCGGUAACGCGAAGCUCUUGAUCGAAGCCCCGGUAAACGGCGGCCGUAACUAUAACGGUCCUAAGGUAGCGAAAUUCCUUGUCGGGUAAGUUCCGACCUGCACGAAUGGCGUAAUGAUGGCCAGGCUGUCUCCACCCGAGACUCAGUGAAAUUGAACUCGCUGUGAAGAUGCAGUGUACCCGCGGCAAGACGGAAAGACCCCGUGAACCUUUACUAUAGCUUGACACUGAACAUUGAGCCUUGAUGUGUAGGAUAGGUGGGAGGCUUUGAAGUGUGGACGCCAGUCUGCAUGGAGCCGACCUUGAAAUACCACCCUUUAAUGUUUGAUGUUCUAACGUUGGCCCGUAAUCCGGGUUGCGGACAGUGUCUGGUGGGUAGUUUGACUGGGGCGGUCUCCUCCUAAAGAGUAACGGAGGAGCACGAAGGUUGGCUAAUCCUGGUCGGACAUCAGGAGGUUAGUGCAAUGGCAUAAGCCAGCUUGACUGCGAGCGUGACGGCGCGAGCAGGUGCGAAAGCAGGUCAUAGUGAUCCGGUGGUUCUGAAUGGAAGGGCCAUCGCUCAACGGAUAAAAGGUACUCCGGGGAUAACAGGCUGAUACCGCCCAAGAGUUCAUAUCGACGGCGGUGUUUGGCACCUCGAUGUCGGCUCAUCACAUCCUGGGGCUGAAGUAGGUCCCAAGGGUAUGGCUGUUCGCCAUUUAAAGUGGUACGCGAGCUGGGUUUAGAACGUCGUGAGACAGUUCGGUCCCUAUCUGCCGUGGGCGCUGGAGAACUGAGGGGGCUGCUCCUAGUACGAGAGGACCGGAGUGGACGCAUCACUGGUGUUCGGGUUGUCAUGCCAAUGGCACUGCCCGGUAGCUAAAUGCGGAAGAGAUAAGUGCUGAAAGCAUCUAAGCACGAAACUUGCCCCGAGAUGAGUUCUCCCUGAGACUUAGAGUCUCCUGAAGGAACGUUGAAGACGACGACGUUGAUAGGCCGGGUGUGUAAGCGCAGCGAUGCGUUGAGCUAACCGGUACUAAUGAACCGUGAGGCUUAACCU